UGGCUGAGCAGUAAAGCGCUUGGCUUCCGAACCCAGGGGUCCCGGGUUCGAAUCCUGG
rnacentral:tRNA from 1 species